rnacentral:rRNA from 1 species
GGGUUGUGAGGUUAAGCGACUAAGCGUACACGGUGGAUGCCCUGGCAGUCAGAGGCGAUGAAGGACGUGCUAAUCUGCGAUAAGCGUCGGUAAGGUGAUAUGAACCGUUAUAACCGGCGAUUUCCGAAUGGGGAAACCCAGUGUGWUUCGWCACACUAUCAUUAACUGAAUCCAUAGGUUAAUGAGGCGAACCGGGGGAACUGAAACAUCUAAGUACCCCGAGGAAAAGAAAUCAACCGAGAUUCCCCCAGUAGCGGCGAGCGAACGGGGAGCAGCCCAGAGCCUGAAUCAGUGUGUGUGUUAGUGGAAGCGUCUGGAAAGGCGCGCGAUACAGGGUGACAGCCCCGUACACAAAAAUGCACAUGCUGUGAGCUCGAUGAGUAGGGCGGGACACGUGGUAUCCUGUCUGAAUAUGGGGGGACCAUCCUCCAAGGCUAAAUACUCCUGACUGACCGAUAGUGAACCAGUACCGUGAGGGAAAGGCGAAAAGAACCCCGGCGAGGGGAGUGAAAAAGAACCUGAAACCGUGUACGUACAAGCAGUGGGAGCACGCUUAGGCGUGUGACUGCGUACCUUUUGUAUAAUGGGUCAGCGACUUAUAUUCUGUAGCAAGGUUAACCGAAUAGGGGAGCCGAAGGGAAACCGAGUCUUAACUGGGCGUUAAGUUGCAGGGUAUAGACCCGAAACCCGGUGAUCUAGCCAUGGGCAGGUUGAAGGUUGGGUAACACUAACUGGAGGACCGAACCGACUAAUGUUGAAAAAUUAGCGGAUGACUUGUGGCUGGGGGUGAAAGGCCAAUCAAACCGGGAGAUAGCUGGUUCUCCCCGAAAGCUAUUUAGGUAGCGCCUCGUGAAUUCAUCUCCGGGGGUAGAGCACUGUUUCGGCAAGGGGGUCAUCCCGACUUACCAACCCGAUGCAAACUGCGAAUACCGGAGAAUGUUAUCACGGGAGACACACGGCGGGUGCUAACGUCCGUCGUGAAGAGGGAAACAACCCAGACCGCCAGCUAAGGUCCCAAAGUCAUGGUUAAGUGGGAAACGAUGUGGGAAGGCCCAGACAGCCAGGAUGUUGGCUUAGAAGCAGCCAUCAUUUAAAGAAAGCGUAAUAGCUCACUGGUCGAGUCGGCCUGCGCGGAAGAUGUAACGGGGCUAAACCAUGCACCGAAGCUGCGGCAGCGACGCUUAUGCGUUGUUGGGUAGGGGAGCGUUCUGUAAGCCUGUGAAGGUGUACUGUGAGGUAUGCUGGAGGUAUCAGAAGUGCGAAUGCUGACAUAAGUAACGAUAAAGCGGGUGAAAAGCCCGCUCGCCGGAAGACCAAGGGUUCCUGUCCAACGUUAAUCGGGGCAGGGUGAGUCGACCCCUAAGGCGAGGCCGAAAGGCGUAGUCGAUGGGAAACAGGUUAAUAUUCCUGUACUUGGUGUUACUGCGAAGGGGGGACGGAGAAGGCUAUGUUGGCCGGGCGACGGUUGUCCCGGUUUAAGCGUGUAGGCUGGUUUUCCAGGCAAAUCCGGAAAAUCAAGGCUGAGGCGUGAUGACGAGGCACUACGGUGCUGAAGCAACAAAUGCCCUGCUUCCAGGAAAAGCCUCUAAGCAUCAGGUAACAUCAAAUCGUACCCCAAACCGACACAGGUGGUCAGGUAGAGAAUACCAAGGCGCUUGAGAGAACUCGGGUGAAGGAACUAGGCAAAAUGGUGCCGUAACUUCGGGAGAAGGCACGCUGAUAUGUAGGUGAAGUCCCUCGCGGAUGGAGCUGAAAUCAGUCGAAGAUACCAGCUGGCUGCAACUGUUUAUUAAAAACACAGCACUGUGCAAACACGAAAGUGGACGUAUACGGUGUGACGCCUGCCCGGUGCCGGAAGGUUAAUUGAUGGGGUCAGCGCAAGCGAAGCUCUUGAUCGAAGCCCCGGUAAACGGCGGCCGUAACUAUAACGGUCCUAAGGUAGCGAAAUUCCUUGUCGGGUAAGUUCCGACCUGCACGAAUGGCGUAAUGAUGGCCAGGCUGUCUCCACCCGAGACUCAGUGAAAUUGAACUCGCUGUGAAGAUGCAGUGUACCCGCGGCAAGACGGAAAGACCCCGUGAACCUUUACUAUAGCUUGACACUGAACAUUGAGCCUUGAUGUGUAGGAUAGGUGGGAGGCUUUGAAGUGUGGACGCCAGUCUGCAUGGAGCCGACCUUGAAAUACCACCCUUUAAUGUUUGAUGUUCUAACGUGGACCCGUAAUCCGGGUUGCGGACAGUGUCUGGUGGGUAGUUUGACUGGGGCGGUCUCCUCCUAAAGAGUAACGGAGGAGCACGAAGGUUGGCUAAUCCUGGUCGGACAUCAGGAGGUUAGUGCAAUGGCAUAAGCCAGCUUGACUGCGAGCGUGACGGCGCGAGCAGGUGCGAAAGCAGGUCAUAGUGAUCCGGUGGUUCUGAAUGGAAGGGCCAUCGCUCAACGGAUAAAAGGUACUCCGGGGAUAACAGGCUGAUACCGCCCAAGAGUUCAUAUCGACGGCGGUGUUUGGCACCUCGAUGUCGGCUCAUCACAUCCUGGGGCUGAAGUAGGUCCCAAGGGUAUGGCUGUUCGCCAUUUAAAGUGGUACGCGAGCUGGGUUUAGAACGUCGUGAGACAGUUCGGUCCCUAUCUGCCGUGGGCGCUGGAGAACUGAGGGGGGCUGCUCCUAGUACGAGAGGACCGGAGUGGACGCAUCACUGGUGUUCGGGUUGUCAUGCCAAUGGCACUGCCCGGUAGCUAAAUGCGGAAGAGAUAAGUGCUGAAAGCAUCUAAGCACGAAACUUGCCCCGAGAUGAGUUCUCCCUGACUCCUUGAGAGUCCUGAAGGAACGUUGAAGACGACGACGUUGAUAGGCCGGGUGUGUAAGCGCAGCGAUGCGUUGAGCUAACCGGUACUAAUGAACCGUGAGGCUUAACCUUACAACGCCGAAG